GAUGAACGCUGGCGGCGUGCCUAAUACAUGCAAGUCGAACGCGCAGCGAAAGGUGCUUGCACCUUUCAAGCGAGUGGCGAACGGGUGAGUAACACGUGGAUAACCUGCCUCAAGGCUGGGGAUAACAUUUGGAAACAGAUGCUAAUACCGAAUAAAACUUAGUAUCGCAUGAUACAAAGUUAAAAGGCGCUACGGCGUCACCUAGAGAUGGAUCCGCGGUGCAUUAGUUAGUUGGUGGGGUAAAGGCUUACCAAGACGAUGAUGCAUAGCCGGGUUGAGAGCCUGUUCGGCCAAAUUGGGACUGAGACACGGCCCAAACUCCUACGGGAGGCUGCAGUAGGGAAUCUUCCACAAUGGGCGCAAGCCUGAUGGAGCAACGCCGCGUGUGUGAUGAAGGCUUUCGGGUCGUAAAGCACUGUUGUAUGGGAAGAAAUGCUAAAAUAGGGAAUGAUUUUAGUUUGACGGUACCAUACCAGAAAGGGACGGCUAAAUACGUGCCAGCAGCCGCCGUAA
rnacentral:rRNA from 1 species